UACGUAGGGGCAAGCGUUGUCCGGAUCUAUUGGGCGUAAAGAGCGUGUAGGCGGCUUGGUAGGUCCGUUGUGAAACUCGAGGCUCAACCUCGAGACGCCGAUGGAAACCACCAAGACUAGAGUCCGGAAGAGGAGAAUGGAAUUCCGUGGUGAUAGCGGUGAAAUGCGCAGAUAUCAGGAAGAACACCCGUGGCUAAGGCGGUUCUCUAGUACGGUACUGACG
rnacentral:rRNA from 1 species